GCCUCGUGGUGCAGUGGGCCAGUGCAUCUGGCUGUUAACCAGAAGGUUAGUGGCUUGAGUCCACCCUGGAAUG